UACGUAGGGUGCGAGCGUUGUCCGGAAUUAUUGGGCGUAAAGGGCUCGUAGGCGGUCUGUCGCGUCGGGAGUGAAAACUCAGGGCUUAACCCUGAGCCUGCUUCCGAUACGGGCAGACUAGAGGUAUGCAGGGGAGAACGGAAUUCCUGGUGUAGCGGUGAAAUGCGCAGAGUAUCAGGAGGAACACCGGUGGCGAAGGCGGGAUCUCUGGGCCAUUACUGACGCUGAGGAGCGAAAGCCGGUGGGAGC
rnacentral:rRNA from 1 species